UUUGAUAAUACAUAUUAAAUACCAGAGAAAUUUUUCUAGCGUAGCUAGGGAAUUUGCAAAAUUCUAAGUGGUUGGGCAGUUUACAACUGUCUCUCUGAAGCUGAGAUUCAGACAUGGAGGUGAGAGGCUGAGAGUCUCCCUGAAUAAAUCAUCUUUGAAGCUGCUUGCCUUGAAUUAUCCUCAAGAAAAAGGUUGAGUUUGAGUUCCCCAUUCACUCUGGUGGAAAGAACUGAUUUGGGUGUGAUCUCCUCCCUUUCAGGAUCAUUGUAAGGACCAUAAAACUGGAUUCUUCAGUCUGACCCUACCAAGGACUCUGGAAGUUUUACUGGUGUGUCCUAUUCAGGCAGUCCCAACCCUUUCAGCAUAAUAUCUAAAAGGAUGGGGAAGGAGUCAGGAAAUAAGGAUCUGAGAAGCUUGCACCAGCUCACCUGCAAUGAUGCAAGAGGCAAUACUCAACUGCAGAAACACAAUAAUAUGACUGUGAAACACUGCAUAUCAUAUCUAGAAUUAACUCUAGUAUCAUGACAUACCAAACCAAAAAGUGGUGGAAAAAGGGAUAAUCUAAUGAGGAAGCCCAUGAAGAAGUUAGUAUGAUUUAGUGGAAAGAGCCCUGAACAGGAAAAACAAAGUCCAGAUUUAAGUCCCAUGGUUACCAGGAACUGGCUACACAACCUAAGAAAAGUCAUUAUGCCAAUGAAUCAGUUGCUUCAUGCAAAACAGG